rnacentral:rRNA from 1 species
CCUACGGGAGGCAGCAGUGGGGGAUCUUGGACAAUGGGGGAAACCCUGAUCCAGCGAUGCCGCGUGUGUGAAGAAGGCCUUCGGGUUGUAAAGCACUUUAGAUGUGGAGGAAGGAUAGGAGGUUAAGAGCUAGCUAUCUUGACGGUACACAAAGAAUAAGCACCGGCUAACUCUGUGCCAGCAGCCGCGGUAAUACAGAGGGUGCGAGCGUUAAUCGGAAUUACUGGGCGUAAAGGGCGCGUAGGCGGUUGAUUAAGCUGUGUGUGAAAGAAUUGGGCUUAACCUAAUAAAGCAGACAGAACUGAUUGACUAGAGUGAAGUAGAGGUGAUAGGAAUUUCCGGAGUAGCGGUGAAAUGCGUAGAUACCGGAAAGAACACCAGAGGCGAAGGCGAGUCACUGGACUUUAACUGACGCUGAGGCGCGAAAGCGUGGGGAGCAAACAGGAUUAGAUACCCUGGUAGUCCACGCCGUAAACGAUGAAAACUAGANNUAGGAGAGAGNUGUUAGUUGUGAGACAACGACGAUAAGUUUACCGUCCGUGGGAGGUACGGCCGCGAACGGUUAAAACGUUAAAGUUAGUAAGUUAGUACGGCGUGAGACGUGCCGACGGACGACGACGAGGGAGGAGG